rnacentral:lncRNA from 1 species
GUCAGGAAUAGCCAGAUGUUUCUUGACACAUGCUUUAAUCUUUAUCUCACGGAUCUAGCAAACAUGUAAAUGAAGCAUUUCCCUUUUCCCGUCAACUGCCAGGAAGCUCUGGCCCCUAUAUGUAGCCCACAAGUCAUUUGGUCCUUCCUUCCUUCCUUCCUUCCUUCCUUCCUUCCUUCCUCCCUCCCUCCCUCCCUCCCUUCUCUUCUUUCUUUUUUCUUUCUUGCAGUGCUAGGGAUGGAACUUAGGGCCUCAAGUGCUCUACCACUGAGCUCCGUCCCCAGCUGCUGUCACGGCUCUUUGUAUGCUGCCCUUAUUCCAGGUUCUUUCAGACUUUCAACACCCUUGUUUUUCCCGUGCCUCAUUUUGUCACCUCAUUUUCCUCUGGGAGGAGAAAACCUUGCUGUUUUACGUGUUUUUAGCCUUAACUAAACAAACAUCUAUGGCGGAGCCGCACUGCUGGCUACUGCAGGCCUGGGAUUGAGCGCUGCCCCUCCCUCCGGCUCCCCCUGCCUGGUUCCUGGCACCCCAGAGCCUCGGGAAUCCCUCCACCCAGCUCCCGAGUCUGGGCAGAAGGGGGCGGGUAGCUUCUUUUCUCCCUGCCCCCCCCCUUGGAUUUGGUGACAUGUUUUGGGGAGGAGCUGGGAAGGGUGUCAUGUCCGAGGGAAGCCUCAGCUGUCCCCACAGCCCUCGGGCCCCCUGGAGGUCCUGCUCUAACCCAGGAGACUCCAGCCACUGCUGUCCCUGGUCCCCCCAUCCCCCACCCCCAGAGGGAGAGCCCAAUGCUAGGGACAGGUGGUGGCCUCAACCAGGUGCCUUGGAAAGGGGGAGGGGAGGACAACUGGCAGUACCCUGGGCAGGAGAGCAGGCUCCAGGAGGUGCCAGGGCUAGGUUUUAGUGCCCCCCCCCUCACCAGUCUCCUCUUCAGCUCUUGCAUUGGGAGACUUCACUUUGUCCCCAAGGUUAAUAAAUUGAGCCAAAAGCUUGGUGUGAAUGUGCCCCCUUCCAUCGUCUGACUGUCCCUCCCUCCGGGGCACCUACAGUUCAGUGUUGUGCCUAUGUACAAGUGUCCCCCACCCAGCCCCCGAAGGUCUGAGCUGGUGGUGGGUCCUGCACCGUGUCUUCUGGCCAGAGCUUUCCUGACCCUACGCUGAGCGAUGUCCUCACGUCACCUAAGCCCAUCUGUGGGGCCUGCUGGCUACAGUGAGUUGAAGAGAAGACCCCAGGGCAGCGGCUGGCUCUGAGGAAGGAGCCAGGCCUCUGGGAAGGGCGAGCUCGGGGUCUGGGCUGCAGGAGGCCUGGGGAACUUCCAGUUGGGUGCAAAACUGUGGGUACAGAUGUUUUUCCUGGGAUGAGGGAUUGCAUUUUUAAGGGGCCAGUGGCCCAGGGAAGGUGAGGAGCAGUGCUUUGGUGCCCAGAGCGGGAAGGGAGGCUACAGCUCUGUCGAGGGCUCUGGUUCUCAGGGAUGGCCACAGAUCAGGCUGAGGGGGUGGGGACAGACGCAGCUCGGGGUUCUUCUGGAAGGUGACUGGACUUUUCCCCUGCUGACGGGCGAUCCCUGUCUGCUGUGACGGUGGCCCUGCCUGUCCCUGGGAAUGCAGUGUGGGGCCUUCUGAGCUGAC